rnacentral:lncRNA from 10 species
GGUGUGCGCCCCCGGCGCUGGAGCAGCCGCGUUUCGGGGACCCGGGCAGGCGUGGGGGGCUGCGCUGAGCUCCAGGCCUCCUGCAGGUGCAAUAAGAAUCGUAUUACUAAUGUGGUGUCCUCUGGAAUGGUCACAUGAACACAGUUCCCUGCAGAUGUAAUUGGGAGAGAAGGCACAGUCCUGACACAGGCCUGGAGUGCAGUAGUGUAAUCUCGGCUCACUGCAGCCUCAAACUUCUGGGCUCGAGCGAUCCUCUCACCUCAGCCUCCUGAGUAGCUGGGACUACAGGUUUCUCCUUCUCGUCUUCCAAAGCUGUGCCUUAACUUCCUCGAAAGACAACAUCAGUGCUGGCGGGCCUCAAGAAGAGCCAUCCCAAGGUAUUGACUAGGCAUCAGCGUCUUCACCAGGGCAACACAGAACAUCCCUGCAGAGUUCCUGGUGGCUGCAGUGGCUGGUAGGGGAUGUAUGCCUGCUUUCCAUCAGAUUCCCAAAGCGGAGCCCCUGGAGGCUUUGGCCCAUGGCCCUGAAGCUCCCUUUCACAAGGAAGAAAGACUUUGCAAAGCCAACACCACUAUUGGAGAGAAAGUGGAGAAUGUGUAUUAGAAGUACUAGUCUUUGAAGGCAAAACAGCUGUAUAGAGUGAGCUUAAGUGCUGGAUCCCUGUGGUUAGGAAGGGACACUAAGCCUCCGGGAUGUGAGAGUCCCAUGGAAGGCAGUAGGCCCAGGAUAAAGCAGGUGUCAGCUCAGAAAGCCCACCAUCACCCAGAAAAGGGAAGAAAUACGCUACCACCAUCACUCUUUCUGCCAAUGACUUCUUUGCACACCUCCACCCUAUCUCCUGGCUCAGUCUCCCAUGUUCUCAUAGCUAGGGAGGUCUCCAUUGUAAUUUGUAUGGGGAGGUUAACCUAUAGGCCAUUCUGAUGAUCCCAGCUCCCUUUCACUACAACCCCCGUCUGCAUCCUUUGCUUUGCAGUAGGAUUUGAGAGAGGAAGGAUGAAGAUGUAGCCACAGGAUACAUUUAAACAGGCACAGAGUUUGAGGGGUGGGGGGGAACAAAAGCAAAACAAUAAAACCUUCACCAGUCAUUAAAGAAAUGAAAAUGAACCUUUUGAGAUUGUCAAUUUUUAUCUGCUAAGUCAAGAAAAGCUAAUUUAAUUCCUGGCAAUUUCACAAUAAAAAAAAUUGUGCUAGCUCUUGGUGGCAUUGUAAGUAGUUAAAGGCUUUUUGGGAAGUAAUUUGAAAUACAUCAAGUCUUGAAAAUGAUUAUACCAGUGGAUCCAAUCAUCUCGCUGGUGGAAAUUCAUCUGAAGGAAAUGAUUCAGUGGAAAAAACAACCCGUCUACACUUGUUGCACCUAAAUGUCCAGGAAUAAGGGAAUGACAGAAGAAAUCUCAGCACAUUCUCUGAAUGGAACAGAAACCGAGCGUUUGGAACUAGAAUUGCGCAGACUGAAUUGAAUAUGGAAGUGGCUUUAAAUGGCAUGUUAGGUGGAAACACUGGAUGUCUG